rnacentral:rRNA from 1 species
AAACUGCGAAUGGCUCAUUAAAUCAUUUAUCGUUUAUUUGAUGAUCUCUUGUUGCAUGGAUAACCGUAUUAAUUCUAGAGCUAAUACAUGCGUGAAGCCCCGACUCACGAAGGGGUGUAUUUAUUAGAUUCAAAACCAACCGUGUAAAAGCGUUCCUUGGUGAUUCAUGAUAACUUGUCGAACCGCACGCCCUUGAGGCAGCGGUGAUUCAUUCAAAUUUCUGCCCUAUCAA